UGAGGAAUAUUGGUCAAUGGGCGAGAGCCUGAACCAGCCAAGUAGCGUGAAGGAUGAAGGCUCUAUGGGUCGUAAACUUCUUUUAUAAGGGAAUAAAGUGGAGAACGUGUUCUCCUUUGUAUGUACCUUACGAAUAAGGAUCGGCUAACUCCGUGCCAGCAGCCGCGGUAAUACGGAGGAUCCGAGCGUUAUCCGGAUUUAUUGGGUUUAAAGGGAGCGUAGGUGGAUAGUUAAGUCAGUUGUGAAAGUUUGCGGCUCAACCGUAAAAUUGCAGUUGAUACUGGCUAUCUUGAGUACAGUAGAGGUGGGCGGAAUUCGUGGUGUAGCGGUGAAAUGCUUAGAUAUCACGAAGAACUCCAAUUGCGAAGGCAGCUCACUAGACUGGUCACUGACACUGAGGCUCGAAAGUGUGGGUAUCAAACA
rnacentral:rRNA from 1 species